CGCUGAGAAGCUUAUACAGGGAGAAGCGUUGGCCUUUUAAGCUAAAGACAGGUGACCCCCAACCACCCUCAACGA
rnacentral:tRNA from 1 species